GUGAACGCUGGCGGUAGGCCUAACACAUGCAAGUCGAACGGCAGCACAGUAAGAGCUUGCUCUUACGGGUGGCGAGUGGCGGACGGGUGAGGAAUACAUCGGAAUCUACUUUUUCGUGGGGGAUAACGUAGGGAAACUUACGCUAAUACCGCAUACGACCUACGGGUGAAAGCAGGGGAUCUUCGGACCUUGCGCGAUUGAAUGAGCCGAUGUCGGAUUAGCUAGUUGGCGGGGUAAAGGCCCACCAAGGCGACGAUCCGUAGCUGGUCUGAGAGGAUGAUCAGACACACUGGAAAUGAGAGACGGGGCAGAGUCCCACGGGAGGGAGCGGAGGGGGAAAUAGGGGAAAGGGGGCGAGAGUGUAACACACACACAGCGCGGGGGAAAAAAGGCCGUGGGGGGUGAAACGCCUUUUUGUUGAAAAAAAAAAGCCCGGUUUAAACCCCCCUGUUUUCAGGGGACCCAAAGAAAAAACACCGCGUAACUCUUC
rnacentral:rRNA from 1 species